AGGAUGAACGCUGGCGGCGUGCCUAACACAUGCAAGUCGUACGCCCCACUUCGGUGGGGAGUGGCGGACGGGUGAGUAACACGUUGGUACCUGCCCCGAAGUGGGGAAUAAUUCACCGAAAGGUGGACUAAUACCCCAUAGUAUCCAAUUUAUUUGGAUUAAAGAUUUAUCGCUUCGGGAGGGGCCUGCGUUUGAUUAGCUAGUUGGCGGGGUAAAAGCCCACCAAGGCGACGAUCAAUAGCUGGAUCGAGAGGUUGACCAGCCACACUGGGACUGAGAUACGGCCCAGACUCCUACGGGAGGCAGCAGUGAGGAAUCUUCCACAAUGGACGAAAGUCUGAUGGAGCAAUACCGCGUGCAGGAAGACGCUUUUCGGAGUGUAAACUGCUUUUCUGAAGGAAGAUUAUGACGGUACUUCAGGAAUAAGGAUCGGACUAACUACGUGCCAGCAGCCGC
rnacentral:rRNA from 1 species